CUCAGACGCUCCUACUUAUGUCUAAAUAACAUGUUUUUAUUGUUGCUUCUUGAUUUAUAAAUUUUAUGCAUUGUCUAUUCACUUCCAGCUGGGGAGGAUGAAGAUCUAGCACCACACACUAUCUUCUUAUCUUCCCAUUCUGCUUUCAACAUAAACCAGAGACCAUUAGGAACACAGCUGAAAGCAAGUUAAAUUUAUUAUUUUCUGCAACAAAGAAGACCCUACAUCAUAGAGAGCAAAGGCCUCUGUAACUGCUGCCAGCAGUUUCUGAUUCAUCAAAGACAUCACUCUCAAGGAAAAAUUAAUAAAAG
rnacentral:lncRNA from 1 species